rnacentral:rRNA from 1 species
AUACGGAGGGUCCAAGCGUUAUCCGGAAUCAUUGGGUUUAAAGGGUGCGCAGGCGGUUUAUUAAGUCAGUGGUGAAAUCUCGGGGCUCAACCUCGAAACUGCCAUUGAUACUGAUAAACUAGAGUUCAGUUGGAGUAGGCGGAAUGUGUAGUGUAGCGGUGAAAUGCUUAGAUAUUACACAGAACACCGAUAGCGAAGGCAGCUUACUAAACUGAUACUGACGCUGAGGCACGAAAGCGUGGGGAGCGAACAGGAUUAGAAACCCGAGUAGUCC